CGUGUUUUAUGCCACUUCUUUUUCUGUCUCAUUUUGUCCACCACACUUUUAACGUUGUACAUGAAUGCACAAAGGAACUUGCUUGGCUGCCGUUUUUGUGACCCCAAGAUGCGGGAACCAGGAGAGCUAAGAGGAGGGUGGGAUGGAGUGCCCUUCAAUGGUCUUGUGUGUCGGAGUCCAGAAUUUGGUGCUUCGCUCCUGGCGCCAAAUAAGAUGGCGCCAUUAUGAACACAGUAUCAGCGCUGAGUCAAUACAGCCAGUGAGUGUGCCACACACUCACUGGAGCAUCAUGUACCCACCACAAGUGGUUGCUAUAUCGCUGUUGAACCGAGGCUUCGUGUGUGUGCGACCAGCAGAACAACAUCAUUAGGCGUUUGGAAAAGUUGUGCGAGACCACUUCGAAAGAGGG